ACGAAAUAAUAAAGUUUCUUAGUGUAAAUAAAAAUGUUUUCAUGGAUAGCAAAAAUAUAAAAAUUUUUCAUCAAAAUUUUAUAUUCCUGGUGAGCGUAUGUUUCAUUUGUUGAUAUUAUAUUGAUUUUUUGUAUUAACAUGUUACAAAUAAUUAUAAAUUUGAUUUCUGUGCAGACAGUACAUUAUUAUGAAAUUUUCAGAUAGAAAUAUCCAGCUAUAAAUGUGCCUUCUAUAACUUACUCAAGAGUCAGCUUAUAAUUGAUUAAAGAUUAUACACAUUUGAGUUAAGCUUUAACAUCAACACAAACCUCUUCGAAAUCUUCCAAAAAAGCUUGCUGGUCGGAAAUAAGAAAUGGAAAAACAAUUUGAAAACGGGUUUUUACAUAAAUAUUCUGCGCAAGUGGAUAAUAAACAUCAAUAAUAUCAUAAAUGGAGAGAAUAACCAGUUCCAGAACCUCUCAUUAUGAAUAAAAAAAAUAUUCGACGAAACAUUAUUAGAAAUUUUCUUUCGCGUAAUUUGACUGAAU